AGGGCAUGGUGAGUUCACUUUCUGAGCAUCUCUUUGAAUCUCUCCCAACUCUCAUAGAUAGAUUAUUCUUCUAACUGAGUAAAAGAAGUAAUAUCAUUUCUAAGCUU